GAGAGUCUUGUUUCUGAUUCCAAAUUAUGCAUGCUUACACACAUUAAUUCUGUUACCUGGAUCAUUGAUUCUGGGGCAUCUAAUCAUAUGACACAUGAUAAAACCUACUCUUUAACAUCAUACCUUUGACUGUUCCGCUUCCUUUAAACACAACUUGAUUUCUGUUCACAAGUUGAUAAAACAGUUGCACUGUAUUGUUUUGUUCACUCCAACUUCCUGUUUACUUCACAUGAUACAGGACCCUUCUCUGAAGAGGCCUCUGGAUCUUGGUAAAGAGGAAGCUGGCUUAUACAAA
rnacentral:lncRNA from 1 species